AACCGCUCACCCCCCAUCUCUCCACCCGCUCUCCGACGUCUGCGACACCGCCUCCGUCAACCUCCGCGCAGACGUCCCGAUCAAGCCAUCGUCAGCCUCCGCUGUCUUGCCACCUAUCGAGUACGGCGGUCGCCGCCCUCCAGUUCGUCUUUGUUCGCGACCUGGCCAGCCGUCGCUUCGCCGCCCAACCAAGCUGAGCACGGGAACGGAACUCCUUCGCCGCCCCGUCCACGUCUGCCUUCGUCGCCUCCAUCUCGAGCUCGCGCUCAAGCCCGUCGUCUUCACCGUCUCCGUCGCGUCGGCCGGCCGCUCGUCAAGUCCUCCGUGCGCUGCCCGUCGUCGUCGACGUCCGCGUCCUCGUCGCCCAGCUCCCUGGCGAGACACACGCUCCAUCCGCUCCGCGCAUCUCCGCCUCCGGCCGCUCCAUCCCGCCGCCUCCGUCAAGAUCGUCGUCCGCCGGCAGCGCUCGUCGCGUUCUUCUCGUCUCCGUCGCGCGGCUAUGCAGCGCACGUCCAAGCCAUGCGCGUCCACCAGCUAGCUCCUGCGGGUCAGCGCGCCAGCACCCGCGUAUGUUCUACGUCGCCAACAUCUUUUGGUCUCGUCGGCGAGCGCAGCGCCGCAUCCCUGCAUCUCCAAGGUCUUCGUGCAUGGCCAAACCUCCGGCCUGGAAGCCAUCAAGAUCAGCACGUAUCCGUCUUUCACAUGAUCCAAUCAGCAGCUCACUGCCGGGCUGCUCUUCUUCCCUUGACGCGGCAUCGGCUACUUCCUCAUCGCUUCGACAAUCUUUCUCCGUGUGCAAUCAUUUGCUUCUUCCCGGAUAGGAUCACGAAGUGGUGCAGUGAGAUACGACGAGUUCUCCGGAUGUUCCUCGGCAAGCUUUAACAGGCAAGCAUUUUCCCCUAUACUUCUGCCCCUGCAGGAGUCGCUCACCUAUUUUAUUUUGCCUUCUCCCUCAUGCUAUCCAUAAGUUACGUUCUUGUCACGUGUCCCUUCCACUUGUUACCUCAAGCAACCCAUAUUGCCACCAUCACCUCCCACGGCUAUUAUUUGGUUAUCGAGUCUGCCCUUGCGAGUCGUAGUGCAUGCUAGUGCUGUCUUAUCUCGUUACCGUUAUUGUUAUCUUAUCGGGUUAUAUGUUGGGAAGAAUCAUGGUUACUUUAGUUGUUGAUAUUUGUUUAGCGGAGGCAUCGGUGGGUCAGCUGCUCGUUUUGUGACGGCUCACUUGUGUUUCCUAAAUAUCUUAGGACCCCGAGUUCUUGUUAUCUGUUCCGAGACUGAGCGCUCUAACCACACGUGGGUGUGCUUACCGGGUCUCCCCUCGACCACUGCCGGAAUCCACAGCUUUGUCCAGUGGCCACAACUAGUUUGGAUGUUUGUUUUGCUUCUCCCGGGCGUGCAAGCAUGUUUCUUUGUGGUCAGAUGAUAUGAUGUUACUUUUGGGGAAGCCGUGAGUGCCUUGUAACCCCGUUGUCUCUUGCACGUCCGUAGGUGCGGCACGUAUUGUUAAGAGGUCAUCCUCUAGUGGGCUCUGAUCCUCUUAGCCGUUCUCGCAACAGCUAGGUCCGCCUCGGAGUUUCGAUCGGGCUCCGAAACGGGUUUAACUUAGUUAGGUGGCUUCCUGGACAUUGAUGUAGUGAAGGAGAGUGCGUGUCGUGAUAUCCACCUGUCGUAAGUGGGUUGAUCGUGCG